GGUGGGAGUGUCGCCGGUAGCAGCUGCAGCAGCGCUUAGCAAUGACAGCAAGGCCCCACCAGAGACCCACAGUCCUAAGCACAUAGACCAUGAAAACGGUGUAAGGUCUGAUUCACCUCCGGCACAGACAUUGAAGUCUUCCUUUCGAGCCAUCCAUGACAGAUCCUCUCUGCCUUCCAGCGCCAGGAGUCCCCAAGACGCCACGCAACGAGUCCUCACUGCUCUGUCCUCGGCUUGAUCAAGAGAUUUUUUUUUCUUCUUCGUGCUUGAAUAAAAAAAGAAAAGGAAAGAAACAGAAAAAUAAGACUUUACACUCCUUUAAAAGGACAAAGAGAAAUAAUAAUGCAGCGUAGCAUUCAGUCGGUACAGAACAAAUGGCGUAAUUUGGUAAUAUCCUGUGGAUGGAUGGAUUACUUCCUCUAUUGUUGUGUAGCCUAUAAUCGCGCCUAUAUGUUACUCUCUUUCUCCCCACUUUGCCCAGACAGUUUGGGACCUUUUGGUAGGCUUUUUACUUUAUUAUUACUAUUAUUAUUAUUAUUGUCUCUAUCUUGUUUUGGUGUCCACUCUUUAAUGUAAAUACCAAGUGAUUUAAAUUUGUAAAUAGGAAGCGUUGAAGGAAUUU